rnacentral:rRNA from 1 species
GAUGAACGCUAGCGGCAGGCUUAAUACAUGCAAGUCGAGGGGCAGCAGGAGUAGCAAUACUUGCUGGCGACCGGCAAACGGGUGCGGAACACGUACACAACCUUCCUUUGAGCGGGGAAUAGCCCAGGGAAACUUGGAUUAAUACCCCAUAAUAUAUUGAAAAGGCAUCUUUUUAAUAUUAAAGAUUUAUCACUUAAAGAUGGGUGUGCGGCUGAUUAGGUAGUUGGCGGGGUAACGGCCCACCAAGUCUACGAUGGAUAGGGGUUCUGAGAGGAAGGUCCCCCACAUUGGAACUGAGACACGGUCCAAACUCCUACGGGAGGCAGCAGUGAGGAAUAUUGGUCAAUGGACGAGAGUCUGAACCAGCCAAGUAGCGUGAAGGAUGACUGCCCUAUGGGUUGUAAACUUCUUUUAUAAGGGAAUAAAGUGAGGGACGUGUCCCUUUUUGUAUGUACCUUAUGAAUAAGGAUCGGCUAACUCCGUGCCAGCCGCCGCCGUAACAC